rnacentral:lncRNA from 10 species
GGAAAUAACAGGCACCUGGGAAAACCCACGAAGUAAGGUUUUGUAAGAAGUUGCUCUGCUCCCUGGGAGAAAACGCGGAGCUCAACACUGCCAAGAGGAACAAGUCUGGGAAAUUACGACAUGAGGGCCCUUGUGAAUUGAUGAAUAUGAAGACACUAAGAAAGCAGAAAUAGAACUGAGAAGAAUGAAAUAACUGUCUCUACCUUUCUCGAAUUGUCUAAUAUGGAAAGAAUGAAAGACAGCUAAUAAGCAACUCUCUGCAAGAAGACAUAUGGCUUAGGUUCUGCUGAGCUAUUGAAUCUACUUGGAGAGAGUCAAACACAGAAUCCCUUUGAAUUUAAUGGCCAUUCCAGGUGAUUUGAACAGCCAAAUAAGAAACAGGUCCUCUUCAAUGUACAAUCUGCCAAGUAUGAAGUCUGAAUGACCAUCAUUAUUAUGUAUUUAAUGUGCAUAGAAAAUCUAUCUGCAACCUUCCAGAGUGUACCAGAAGUUUGGAAUGUACAUUAUUAUUGGCUCCAUCUCAAACCACUCAUAAAUCAAAGAAAAUAGCAGUUCCAGAGGAAUCAUCAUAGAGGCUUCUAGGCCCCCAUGCUGUGUGAACCUGGUGAGAAAGGGAAGUCUGCUCUCACUGGACACUGGAACUGUUUGUCUCUGUCUCUGCUGUACUUUCCCUGCCUCUACCUCACUUAGUAAAGAAAUCAUCUUUGCUUGAUAACUAAAACAACCAAUAAGGCUGAGAAAGGGGAAAACCCACAUCUGGAUUUAAAUACAAGGUAUUGGGCCAGCUGCUGGGGAUUAAACUUUGAACAAAACAGAUAGAAUCUAUGUCCUCAUGGGAGUGGCUAAUGGGAGAGUCGGAACAAAAAAAUAGCCAAGGAUAAUCCAGCAAAUGAUUUGGUGAAUGCUAUCAAAGAGAGAAAUACACAUGCUCUGGGAACACCAAGUAGGUACCUAAUACCUAACCUGUACCUGGGGGGCUGGAAAGGGCUUCUUGGAAGAGGCAGAGACUAAAAUGAAGAAUAAGCAUAAGUUAAGACAAAGCUGGGGUGGGGUCAGAAAGAGUGUGAUAGGCCAACGCAGCAACAUGAGCCAAGACUCAAAAAUAAGAGACAGUGUGGCACAUUUGAUGUAGGAAAGACAUUUAGCUGGGAUAGAAAGAAGGCUAGUGUUGGGGCUGAAUGAGGUUGCAUAAAAGUUUGUAAGCCAAGUUAAGGAAUUGAUCAAAUUUAUAUUUUAGAAUGAUCACUCUGACCUCAGCAUUACAUGACCUGAAGGGGUUAAGCCCAUACAUCUGUAGAGAGACCCGUUAGAAUAGGACUGCAGUAAUAUGGUGAGAGACACUGGUGCCUAACUAGGCUGGUGAUCAUAGAGAUAAAGGGAUAUAUGGGAGAGGUAGAGCCGACAGCCAUUGAUAACUGGUGGUCGGCCAGGUCAAGGGGACAGUGUCUGCUUUAGGUAAUUGGCUUGAUGAUAAUCUCAUUUUCAAAGAUCAGGAACACAGGCCUGAGAGUACAUUUGGAGAGGAAGAUGAUUCGGGUUUGCAUCAUGUAGGGUUCGAGGUGUCUAUGGGACACUAUAUGCAGAAGUCCAGUAGGCAAUUGGUUCUGUGGGCCUAGCACUCAGAGGAGAGUGCGAGUCUAAUGACAGAAAAUUGGCAGUCACCAUCGUGUAGAUGGUAAUGGAUGGUAUGAUUUGGGGUGAUUGCUGAGGCAGGAACAUGGGCACAAUGCUGAGGAGUGCAAAUGGCUAAGGGAUGGGACACAGCAGGAACCUGCAAAGGAGCCCAGAAAACAAGAAAUAGGGAGAAAGCCUGGGAACACUGUGAUUCUACGGAAUCACAGAAUUGAAGACAAACAAUG